GGUAUUUUGACUAUACAAAGGUAUUGAAAUAAGAUUUUAAUUGAAUGCUAAGAGAAUGGAAAUACAGGAAAAAACUUUUUUUAAAUUAAAAAUUGAAAUUUUUUUAAUUUGUGCAGAAACAAUUAUUAAUAUUAAGGACAAGAAGACCCUAUGAAUUUAUUAAAUUUUAUUUAAUAUGUAAUUACUAUUAGAAAAAUUUUGGCUGGGGCGGCUAAAAAAUAUUUUAAACUUUUUAAAAAUAAAAUGAUCCAUUAUUAAUGAUUAUAUGUUAAAUA
rnacentral:rRNA from 1 species